rnacentral:sRNA from 1 species
UUUAUAAUGAGUUAAUGCUGGGAAAUAAAACACUGAUUUAAGUCAUUUUGGCUUUUAGUACUAAAGCAUUUGACAAUAAAUGACUUCUUCAGAAUAUGGUAUACCUUCUGAAAGCAAUAAACGCAUUUUAAUGAAUUGUAAGGAAACAACAUUAUUUUAUUUUAUUUUUUUUUUUUUGAGACAGACUUUCGCUUUUGUUGCCUAGGCUGGAGUGCAAUGGCACGAUCUCGGCUCACUGCAACGUCCGCCUCCCGGGUUCAAGCGAUUCUCCUGCCUCAGCUUCCUGAGUUGCUGGGAUUACAGGCACGUGCCACCACGCCUGGCCAAUUUUGUAUUUUUAGUAGAGACGGGGUUUCUCCAUGUUGGUCAGGCUGGUCUCAAACUCCUGACCUCAGGUGAUCUGCCCGCCUCAGCCUCCGAAAGUACUGGAGCCACCGUGCCUGGCCAACAUUAUUUAUUUUUUUUUAAAUCUAGAAAAAUACACUUCUAAGAAAAUUGAUUAAAACCAACCUUCUUCAUUAGCCACUAAGAUCACAUCUAUGUUGUCUUUGUUGCAGCUUCACUUAAAGAGAGGAAACUUCUUGGUGCUCAAAGCAAAGGAGAUGGGCCUCCCAGUUGGGACAGCUGCCAUCGCUCCCAUCAUUGCUGCUGUCAAGGACGGGAAAAGCAUCACUCAUGAAGGAAGAGAGAUUUUGGCUGAAGAGCUGUGUACUCCUCCAGAUCCUGGUGCUGCUUUUGUGGUGGUAGAAUGUCCAGAUGAAAGCUUCAUUCAACCCAUCUGUGAGAAUGCCACCUUUCAGAGGUACCAAGGAAAGGCAGAUGCCCCCGUGGCCUUGGUGGUUCACAUGGCCCCAGAAUCUGUGCUUGUGGACAGCAGGUACCAGCAGUGGAUGGAGAGGUUUGGGCCUGACACCCAGCACUUGGUCCUGAAUGAGAACUGUGCCUCAGUUCACAACCUUCGCAGCCACAAGAUUCAAACCCAGCUCAACCUCAUCCACCCGGACAUCUUCCCCCUGCUCACCAGUUUCCCCUGUAAGAAGGAGGGCCCCACCCUCAGUGUGCCCAUGGUUCAGGGUGAAUGCCUCCUCAAGUACCAGCUCCGUCCCAGGAGGGAGUGGCAGAGGGAUGCCAUUAUUACUUGCAAUCCUGAGGAAUUCAUAAUUGAGGCGCUGCAGCUUCCCAACUUCCAGCAGAGUGUGCAGGAGUACAGGAGGAGUGCGCAGGACGGCCCAGCCCCAGCAGAGAAAAGAAGUCAGUACCCAGAAAUCAUCUUCCUUGGAACAGGGUCUGCCAUCCCGAUGAAGAUUCGAAAUGUCAGUGCCACACUUGUCAACAUAAGCCCCGACACGUCUCUGCUACUGGACUGUGGUGAGGGCACGUUUGGGCAGCUGUGCCGUCAUUACGGAGACCAGGUGGACAGGGUCCUGGGCACCCUGGCUGCUGUGUUUGUGUCCCACCUGCACGCAGAUCACCACACGGGCUUGCUAAAUAUCUUGCUGCAGAGAGAACGAGCCUUGGCAUCUUUGGGAAAGCCCUUUCACCCUUUGCUGGUGGUUGCCCCCAACCAGCUCAAAGCCUGGCUCCAGCAGUACCACAACCAGUGCCAGGAGGUCCUGCACCACAUCAGUAUGAUUCCUGCCAAAUGCCUUCAGGAAGGGGCUGAGAUCUCCAGUCCUGCAGUGGAAAGAUUGAUCAGUUCACUGUUGCGAACAUGUGAUUUGGAAGAGGUAAGGGGCACAGCUGCAGGCAUCAUGGGGGUGAGGUGGGGAGCAGAGCUGCAGAGCCCUCCAGCCCCACCCUUUCAGUUUCAGACCUGUCUGGUGCGGCACUGCAAGCAUGCGUUUGGCUGUGCGCUGGUGCACACCUCUGGCUGGAAAGUGGUCUAUUCCGGGGACACCAUGCCCUGCGAGGCUCUGGUCCGGAUGGGGAAAGAUGCCACCCUCCUGAUACAUGAAGCCACCCUGGAAGAUGGUUUGGAAGAGGAAGCAGUGGAAAAGACACACAGCACAACGUCCCAAGCCAUCAGCGUGGGGAUGCGGAUGAACGCGGAGUUCAUUAUGCUGAACCACUUCAGCCAGCGCUAUGCCAAGGUCCCCCUCUUCAGCCCCAACUUCAACGAGAAAGUGGGAGUUGCCUUUGACCACAUGAAGGUCUGCUUUGGAGACUUUGCAACAAUGCCCAAGCUGAUUCCCCCACUGAAAGCCCUGUUUGCUGGCGACAUCGAGGAGAUGGAGGAGCGCAGGGAGAAGCGGGAGCUGCGGCAGGUGCGGGCGGCCCUCCUGUCCAGGGAGCUGGCAGGCGGCCUGGAGGAUGGGGAGCCUCAGCAGAAACGGGCCCACACAGAGGAGCCACAGGCCAAGAAGGUCAGAGCCCAGUGAAGAUCUGGGAGACCCUGAAUUCAGAAGGCUGUGUGUCUUCUGCCCCACGCACGCACCCGUAUCUGCCCUCCUUGCUGGUAGAAGCUGAAGAGCACGGUCCCCCAGGAGGCAGCUCAGGAUAGGUGGUAUGGAGCUGUGCCAAGGCUUGGGCUCCCACAUAAGCACUAGUCUAUAGAUGCCUCUUAGGACUGGUGCCUGGCACAGCCGCGGGACAGGAGGCUGCCACACGGAAGCAAGCAGAUGAACUAAUUUCAUUUCAAGGCAGUUUUUAAAGAAGGCAUGGAAACAGACGGCAGCACCUUUCCUCUAAUCCAGCAAAGUGAUUCCCUGCACACCAGAGACAAGCAGAGUAACAGGAUCAGUGGGUCUAAGUGUCCGAGACUUAACGAAAAUAGUAUUUCAGCUGCAAUAAAGAUUGAGUUUGCAA